rnacentral:lncRNA from 14 species
UGACAUACCUGAUUUAGACUUAGCUUCUUCAAGACAAGGUAUAUUUUCUUUGACAUCUGAUGGAUGAUCUGUGUAACUGUGGCAGGGAACUCACUGUUGGUUUUACCAGAAAAGGAGAGUAUGGUUGAUGAUGCAGAUAUGUGCUCACAGUGCAGAGCAGGUCUUCUGUAGUUGGAAGAUAAGCCACUGUUCAUCUACUGCCAGAUUAGCAGAUUAGCAGUAUCUGGGGUCUGCAGAAGUGCCAUGAAACACUCAGGAGUCAGUAAUAGAAGUCAGCCACCACAGCGUACCACAUACUGCAAGUGUAUCAGGAGUUUCAAAAGUCUCACUGGAAGGCACACCUUACUUAUCUUCAUCC